AUAGAGACCCAACCCGACCAGAACCUCAAUCAAAAACCUAAUCUUAAAAACUCAGUCCCUAAAAAAAAGCCCCAAUCUUUCACCGCAGACAACAGGUGUUCAAGGUCCUGAAUUUCAUUCAUCCAAGCAAUGGCUUCUUCUUCUCAGAAGCAAAAAAGGGUACUCUUCAUUCUCAUCCCAUGGUGCUAGAUAAAUCUAGGGCCAGGUAUCAUCUGUUGAAACUCAGCUUCGAUGUCUCGAUUGCUAAAUCUGAUGGGAUUUUUUGCUUGAUUGAUUGAGUAUUGACCCACUUUGAUGCGUUUUGCCAAAGGUGCUAGAUAAGUUUAGGCUUCAUCUCAGUUUCAAUAUCACAGUUCCUUUGUAGCGAGGUAUAUCUUUCAGCCAACAUCUUUUGGUUUUCAAAUUUGAUUAUUCAACCUCUGACUAGAGUGUAGAGUAUUGCUUUUGCAGCCAUGGAUCUUCUUUUUGGUUAUGAUUCCAAGCCCACUGUUUCUUUUAGUUCACACCUCGACUGGGUGGCAUUCAGUCACUUCAUUUAGAUGCUGUGUUACCUAGCUGGUUUAUUCGUGAACUGACAAUUGUGAAGUUGGGCAAGCCCUGAUCUCUUCUGCCCUUGUUCUACAUGAGGUGACAAUAGCAAGUAACUUACCACCUAGAACCCUUCCGCCUAGUAGUGUUGAACCCUCUCACAUAUCUGUCCUCGAUGAGCUUUCCGACAUGUUGAACAGCCCCGUUUGCAAUGUAUCCUCUCACAUUCUUGUUUCUGAUGAGCUUUGCCACAUGUUGAACUGCAUCAGUUGUAUUGAACUCACGGGUACUCAAUUUCUGCAUUAAUGUUCUCAGCUUCCCAGGUAGACAACGGACAGCCAUGCUCUUUAAGUACAAAAGCAAAUGGUUUAUUAGUUACUAGAUCAUCUUUUACCACAUUCUGUUCUGUAAUUUUACAAAGAUGACUGAAAUGCAUCAAGAAUAUAGGGAUAUAUUAUCUGUAAUUUUGCGAUAACUAUGGUUUGAAUUUCCUUUAUUUUGGUACAGAACUGGGGUAUGGAAUUGUCUUUGUUUUUCUA